rnacentral:rRNA from 1 species
CCCGGGCUCAACCUGGGAACGGCGCUUGGGACUGGCGGGCUGGAGUUUGGGAGAGGGGGGCGGAAUUCCGGGUGUAGCGGUGAAAUGCGUAGAUAUCCGGAGGAACACCAGUGGCGAAGGCGGCCCCCUGGCCCAAAACUGACGCUGAGGCACGAAAGCGUGGGUAGCAAACAGGAUUAGAUACCCUGGUAGUCCACGCCGUAAACGAUGCCGACUAGCCGUUGGCCCCUUGGGGCUGGUGGCGCAGCUAACGCGGUAAGUCGGCCGCCUGGGGAGUACGGCCGCAAGGUUAAAACUCAAAUGAAUUGACGGGGGCCCGCACAAGCGGUGGAGCAUGUGGUUUAAUUCGAUGCAACGCGAAGAACCUUACCUGCCCUUGACAUCCUGGGAAUCCUGCGGAG